AUGAACGCUGGCGGCGUGCCUAAUACAUGCAAGUCGAGCGAACGGACGAGAAGCUUGCUUCUCUGAUGUUAGCGGCGGACGGGUGAGUAACACGUGGAUAACCUACCUAUAAGACUGGGAUAACUUCGGGAAACCGGAGCUAAUACCGGAUAAUAUUUUGAACCGCAUGGUUCAAAAGUGAAAGACGGUCUUGCUGUCACUUAUAGAUGGAUCCGCGCUGCAUUAGCUAGUUGGUAAGGUAACGGCUUACCAAGGCAACGAUGCAUAGCCGACCUGAGAGGGUGAUCGGCCACACUGGAACUGAGACACGGUCCAGACUCCUACGGGAGGCAGCAGUAGGGAAUCUUCCGCAAUGGGCGAAAGACUGACGGAGCAACGCCGCGUGAGUGAUGAAGGUCUUCGGAUAGUAAAACUCUGUUAUUAGGGAAGAACAUAUGUGUAAGUAACUGUGCACAUCUUGACGGUACCUAAUCAGAAAGCCACGGCUAACUACGUG
rnacentral:rRNA from 1 species